rnacentral:rRNA from 1 species
AUACGUAGGGGGCGAGCGUUGUCCGGAAUGAUUGGGCGUAAAGGGCGCGUAGGCGGCCCGGUAAGUCUGGAGUGAAAGUCCUGUUUUUAAGAUGGGAAUUGCUUUGGAUACUGUCGGGCUUGAGUGCAGGAGAGGGAAGUGGAAUUCCCAGUGUAGCGGUGAAAUGCGUAGAGAUUGGGAGGAACACCAGUGGCGAAGGCGACUUACUGGACUGUAACUGACGCUGAGGCGCGAAAGUGUGGGGAGCAAACAGGAUUAGAUACCCUGGUAGUCCACACUGUAAACGAUGAAUGCUAGGUGUAGGGGGUAUCGACCCCUUCUGUGCCGCAGUCAGCACAAUAAGCAUUCCGCCUGGGGAGUACGGCCGCAAGGUUGAAACUCAAAUGAAUUGGCGGGG